AGCUCAGUGGUUAGAGCACCUGACUAAAGGUUCAGGGGGCCCAGGUUUGAAUCCUGG
rnacentral:tRNA from 1 species